rnacentral:rRNA from 1 species
CUUGACCUCAAAUCAGGCAGGACUACCCGCCGAACUUAAGCAUAUCAAUAAGCGGAGGAAAAGAAACUAACGAGGAUUCCCCUAGUAACUGCGAGUGAAGCGGGAAGAGCUCAAAUUUCGAAUCUGGCGG